rnacentral:sRNA from 1 species
CAGAGGUAGAGAUUAGGUAAACAGAGAACUUACUUGGUAAGAGGUAGAGAUUAGGUAAACAGAGAACUUACUUGGUAAGAGGUAUAGAUUAGGUAAACAGAGAACUUACUUGGUAAGAGGUAGAGAUUAGGUAAACAGAGAACUUACUUGGUAAGAGGUAUAGAUUAGGUAAACAGAGAACUCACUUGGUAGGAGGUAGAGAUUAGGUAAACAGAGAACUUACUUGGUAAGAGGUAGAGAUUAGGUAAACAGAGAACUUACUUGGUAAGAGGUAGAGAUUAGGUAAACGGAGAACUUACUUGGUAAGAGGUAGAGAUUAGGUAAACAGAGAACUUACUUGGUAAGAGGUAGAGAUUAGGUAAACAGAGAACUCACUUGGUAAGAGGUAGAGAUUAGGUAAACAGAGAACUUACUUGGUAAGAGGUAGAGAUUAGGUAAACAGUCAACUCACUUUGUAGGAGGUAGAGAUUAGGUAAACAGUCAACUCACUUGGUAGGAGGUAGAGAUUAGGUAAACAGAGAACUCACUUGGUAAGAGGUAGAGAUUAGGUAAACAGAGAACUUACUUGGUAAGAGGUAGAGAUUAGGUAAACA